UACGAAGGGGGCUAGCGUUGCUCGGAAUCACUGGGCGUAAGGGGUGCGUAGGCGGGGCUUUAAGUCAGGGGUGAAAUCCUGGAGCUCAACUCCAGAACUGCCUUUGAUACUGAAGAUCUUGAGUUCGGGAGAGGUGAGUGGAACUGCGAGUGUAGAGGUGAAAUUCGUAGAUAUUCGCAAGAACACCAGUGGCGAAGGCGGCUCACUGGCCCGAUACUGACGCUGAGGCACGAAAGCGUGGGGAGCAAACAGG
rnacentral:rRNA from 1 species